AAAACAUCUUCAUCCUCCAGUUGGACAGCAAUGUGAACGUACUUCAUAACGCCGAACUGUAUGCUUCAAGUGUUAAGAUGAUGGAAGUCACCUGUUGAGCAUGGCUGUACAGUCGGAUGCAAGGACAAUGGUUCCUAGGACACUGCCAGGAGACAGAGACUCCGAGAGUGGCCAGAAAACAAACAGGCCAGUAACUGCCUUGGUCUGAGAGUCCUCACCGAGCAGGAGUCUCCUCCAGACCUCCUCAUUCGGGGUUUAGAGCAUCAGGUUCUGGUCUCUUCCGGGCAGAAGAAACAUCCUUGUCCUCGUGCACCUGACUUUUAAAAUCAUUUCU